rnacentral:rRNA from 1 species
UGGCCCUACGGGGCGCAGCAGUAGGGAAUCUUCCACAAUGGACGAAAGCCUGAUGGAGCAACGCCGCGUGAGUGAAGAAGGGAUUCGGCUCGUAAAGCUCUGUUGGGAGUGAAGAAAGAUAGAGGUAGUAACUGGCCUUUAUUUGACGGUAACUACUUAGAAAGUCACGGCUAACUACGUGCCAGCAGCCGCGGUAAUACGUAGGUGGGAAGCGUUGUCCGGGUUUAUUGGGCGUAAAGCGAGUGCA